CAAACUGGAGAUGGCGACCGGCGCACGGGUGAGUAACACGUAUCCAACCUGCCGAUGACUCGGGGAUAGCCUUUCGAAAGAAAGAUUAAUACCCGAUGGCAUAGUUCUUCCGCAUGGUGGAACUAUUAAAGAAUUUCGGUCGUCGAUGGGGAUGCGUUCCAUUAGGUUGUUGGCGGGGUAACGGCCCACCAAGCCUUCGAUGGAUAGGGGUUCUGAGAGGAAGGUCCCCCACAUUGGAACUGAGACACGGUCCAAACUCCUACGGGAGGCAGCAUG
rnacentral:rRNA from 1 species